rnacentral:misc_RNA from 1 species
UUUCCGUAGGUGAACCUGCAGAAGGAUCAUUAUCGAAUUGUAAUAGGGGUUGAUGCUGGCAAGCUAAAUUUUUUUUUUUGGGUUGCACAUGUGCUCACUCCUAACAAUCUCUAUCUCGAACACCCAUGCACCUUUUUGAGAGGGGUUUUCUAAGCAUGUUGCUGCUUUUUUGCAGUUCUUGCUUUUUUUUUUUAACCCCCCUCUUCCCUUACAUAUACACUGUUUUCAAUGUUGAACAUGAAUUGUGCCAGUAAAAGGCCAUAAUAAAAUACAACUUUUAACAAUGGAUCUCUUGGCUCUC